CCCUGAUACAAUGCAGCAGGCUGUGCCUCUAUUCAUCAAGAUGUGUUUCGGCAAACUGGAUCACAAGGGCUAAAGAAUGUCAACUGAAUUCACGUGGUGGUGACGAGCAAUCUUUACAGGUGUCUCACUCUAAUAUUUACCUGGCUGUUCACGUCAAUCCUUUACAGCCGAUGGCUCAUGUUCAGGGGACUCUGACUGCAGUGCAUUUCCGACUACAAGUUGCCAUGCUGGUUUCUGUACAUGUGGUAUAGGAUACGAUCUGGAUGUUGCUAGAGCAGUUUGCAGGGACUUAAGAGAGUGUACCACCUUCGGAACAGAAUACAUCCAUUUCCCAGGACAGGUUAUUUGGAGAGAAGAUAUAGAGUCAAACCCCUCCUCAUAUCCUGUAGCACAAUGUGUUCAAUUAUGCAAUGAAGCUUCAACGUAUGUAUGUAGAUCAUUUGAAACAGACACCAGACUCAACGGGUGCUACACUCAGACAAUGACGUGGCUUGAUGCUACUGAGGACAAACAUACCUACACAGACCGUUUUGAUCACUACCAACGAAAGUGCAUCUGGGGGGUCAUAUAGAACAUGUCGCUUCUGACAAUUACAUGCAUGCUGUAUCUGAUGAAAUGAUACAUAGAAGGCCAUG